AAACUAACAAGGAUUCCCCUAGUAGCGGCGAGCGAAGCGGGAAGAGCUCAAAUUUAUAAUCUGGCACCUUCGGUGUCCGAGUUGUAAUCUCUAGAAGUGUUUUCCGCGUUGGACCGCACACAAGUCUGUUGGAAUACAGCGGCAUAGUGGUGAGACCCCCGUAUAUGGUGCGGACGCCCAACGCUUUGUGAUACACUUUCGAAGAGUCGAGUUGUUUGGGAAUGCAGCUCAAAUUGGGUGGUAAAUUCCAUCUAAAGCUAAAUAUUGGCGAGAGACCGAUAGCGAACAAGUACCGUGAGGGAAAGAUGAAAAGCACUUUGGAAAGAGAGUUAACAGUACGUGAAAUUGUUGGAAGGGAAACGCUUGAAGUCAGACUUGCUUGCCGAGCAAUCGGUUUGCAGGCCAGCAUCAGUUUUCCGGGGUGGAUAAUGGUAGAGAGAAGGUAGCAGUUUCGGCUGUGUUAUAGCUCUCUGCUGGAUACACCUUGGGGGACUGAGGAACGCAGUGUGCCUUACGGCGGAUUUCUCGAGAUCUUCACACUUAGGAUGCUG
rnacentral:rRNA from 1 species